rnacentral:rRNA from 1 species
AUGUGGACAGUGGCAGACGGGUGAGUAACGCGUGGCAACCUACCAUUUUCUACGGAACAACAGUUGGAAACGACUGCUAAUACCGUAUACGUCCUCCGGGAGAAAGAUUUAUCGGUGAAUGAUGGGGCCGCGUUAGAUUAGCUAGUUGGUGAGGUAAUGGCUCACCAAGGCGACGAUCUAUAGCGGGUCUGAGAGGAUGAUCCGCCACACUGGGACUGAGACACGGCCCAGACUCCUACGGGAGGCAGCAGUGGGGAAUAUUGGACAAUGGGCGCAAGCCUGAUCCAGCCAUGCCGCGUGAAUGAUGAAGGCCUUAGGGUUGUAAAAUUCUUUCGCUAGGGAAGAUAAUGACGGUACCUAGUAAAGAAGCCCCGGCUAACUCCGUGCCAGCAGCCGCGGUAAUACGGAGGGGGCUAGCGUUGUUCGGAAUUACUGGGCGUAAAGCGUGCGUAGGCGGAUUAUUAAGUUAGAUGUGAAAUCCCGAGGCUCAACCUCGGAACUGCAUUUAAAACUGGUAGUCUUGAGUUCUGGAGAGGUAAGUGGAAUUCCUAGUGUAGAGGUGAAAUUCGUAGAUAUUAGGAGGAACACCAGAGGCGAAGGCGGCUUACUGGACAGAUACUGACGCUGAGGCACGAAAGUGUGGGUAGCAA